CGGGGUGAGUAAUGUCUGGGAAACUGCCUGAUGGAGGGGGAUAACUGCUGGAAACGGUAGCUAAUACCGCAUAACGUCGCAAGACCAAAGAGGGGGACUUCGGGCCUCUUGCCAUCGGAUGUGCCCAGAUGGGAUUAGCUAGUAGGUGGGGUAACGGCUCACCUAGGCGACGAUCCCUAGCUGGUCUGAGAGGAUGACCAGCCACACUGGAACUGAGACACGGUCCAG
rnacentral:rRNA from 1 species